rnacentral:rRNA from 1 species
GAUUAACGCUGGCGGCGUGCCUAACACAUGCAAGUCGAGCGGCAGCGAGUUUUACACUGAAUUCUGGAAACUUCUGGUAUAAAUAGAAGAGUUAUUCAAGAAUUUUGUGUAAAAUGUCGGCGAGCGGCGGACGGCUGAGUAACGCGUGGGAAUGUACCCCAAAGUGAGGGAUAACGCACCGAAAGGUGUGCUAAUACCGCAUAUGAUCUUCGGAUUAAAGCCUUCGGGCGCUUUGGGAACAGCCUGCGUCAGAUUAGAUAGUUGGUGAGGUAAUGGCUCACCAAGUCGACGAUCUGUAACUGGUUUGAGAGGAUGAUCAGUCAGACUGGAACUGAGACACGGUCCAGACUCCUACGGGAGGCAGCAGUGAGGAAUCUUCCACAAUGGGCGAAAGCCUGAUGGAGCAACGCCGCGUGCAGGAUGAAGGCCUUCGGGUUGUAAACUGCUUUUAUAAGUGAGGAUUAUGACAGUAACUUAUGAAUAAGGAUCGGCUAACUACGUGCCAGCAGCCGCGGUCAUACGUAGGAUCCGAGCGUUAUCCGGAGUGACUGGGCGUAAGAGUUGCGUAGGUGGUUUAAUAAGCGAAUAGUGAAAUCUGGUGGCUCAACCAUUCAGACUAUUAUUCGAACUGUUGAACUCGAGAGCAGAAGAGGUAGCUGGAAUUUCUAGUGUAGGAGUGAAAUCCGUAGAUAUUAGAAGGAACACCGAUGGCGUAGGCAGGCUACUGGGCUGUUUCUGACACUGAGGCACGAAAGCGUGGGGAGCGAACCGGAUUAGAUACCCGGGUAGUCCACGCCGUAAACGAUGGAUACUAGCUGUUUGGGGUAUCGACCCCCUGAGUAGCGAAGCUAACGCGUUAAGUAUCCCGCCUGUGGAGUACGAUCGCAAGAUUAAAACAUAAAGGAAUUGACGGGGACCCGCACAAGCGGUGGAUCAUGUUCUUUAAUUCGAUGAUAACCGAUAAACCUUACCAGGUCUUGACAUCCUUGGAAUCUUUCAGAAAUGAGAGAGUGCUUUUUAAGAACCAAGUGACAGGUGAUGCAUGGCCGUCGUCAGCUCGUGUCGUGAGAUGUUUGGUUAAGUCCAUCAACGAGCGCAACCCUUGUGAAUAGUUGUAUUUUUCUAUUCAGACUGCCCCGGCAACGGGGAGGAAGGAGGGGAUGACGUCAGGUCAGUAUUUCCCUUACGUCCUGGGCUAGAAACGUGAUACAAUGGCUAGUACAAUGCGCAGCGAAGCCGCGAGGUGAAGCAAAUCGCAUCAAAGCUAGUCCCAGUUCGGAUUGUAGGCUGAAACUCGCCUGCAUGAAGUCGGAAUCGCUAGUAAUCGCAGAUCAGCAUGCUGCGGUGAAUACGUUCCCGGGUCU